CAAACCCACCAAGAGUGCACCCCAAUAUAAACUAUGGUCUCUGAGUGAUAACGAUAUGUCAAGGUUGAAAUAAUCCUAAGUGACAUGACUAUUUAAUGUGGUGUGAAGACCUUGUCUGGACCUGGAUUUGAAAUGACCAAAAUAAACAGAUGGUAAUCAUCUCAAGACAGACCACCACCAGAGCAGAAAUCUGGAGAAUGGCAAGGGGAAGGGACAGGAUGCUCAUGUCUCCUUCAGGUAUAUGUUAACAGUGAUUUGAUAUCUAUGGGAUGUUUCCUCUUGGAAACUUGUGAGAAGACCAAGCUUCACAGCCAGGUCCCAUGGAAAAGAAUGAGAAGCUCUAGUCAACAUCUCAAUAGACCUUCCAGCUAACAGCUGGCAUCAAUUGCCAGUCAUGAGACUGGGCUACACUGGACAUCCAACCCAGCUGCUAACUGCAAACAUGUAAGAAACUCCAAGAGGCAGUCCCUCCUCCCUCAUGCAGCCCCAUCCCUGUUCCAUCGGAUUCUGCAAGCACUUCCAAUGGACAUGUCCAGACUACAUUUUAUCCUGACGCAGAAUAAGAAUACCUGGGAAAGAGCAGCACACUGCAGUGAUUCAGUGAGAUGAGAGCAGCAGGCACCUGCCAACAUAUGACAAGUCGUAAUGGAAGCCUGAGUACAAGUGGCAGGACCUGGAUUCCUCACU